GGAAAACAACAAAGUAACCAGAUGGACCCUAGAGCAACCAGAGAAUAGAGACAAAGCCUCAGGACCCCCCACCUACUGGAGUGCAGAAUCUAGACAGGAGCCAUCAAGACGUCACUUAGACUGCGGAAGCAAAGUGACCAGUCAUUUCCAUCUCCUGUGCCUACUGCCGCCUCUGCCGUGAUGGACUGACUCCCCUCAAACUGCUUCUGCCAUGACGCAAUCUUGUAUACCAGGAUGGCUGAGAGGGCCCUCGGCAGAAGCUGAACAGAUGGGGCCACCUGACUUGGAACUUUGUCUCCUGGUAGAUUAAAAAAUAACGCAAAGUAACUUUCUUCUUUAUAAAGUGCCUAGACUCAGAUAUCUUGUUACAACAAUAGCCAAGAGACGCAUAAACCAUUUAUUUUUAAAAA